rnacentral:rRNA from 1 species
GGGGACGUUGGCGGGUCGCUUAUGCAUGCAAGUUGAGCGAAGCUUUUCAAUAGUUUACUACAGAAAAUGACUGAGCGGCGAACGGGUGAGUAACGCGUGAGCAAUCUACCUUAGUUACUGGGAUAGCCCGAGGAAACUCGGAUUAAUACCGGAUAUUCUUAUUUUUUCACAUGAAGUUUUAAGGAAAGGUCAGCCGAACUAAGAUGAGCUCGCGUUCUAUCAGCUAGUUGGUGGGGUAAAAGCCUACCAAGGCAACGACGGAUAGCUGGUCUGAGAGGACGAUCAGCCACACUGGGACUGAGACACGGCCCAGACUCCUACGGGAGGCUGCAGCAGGGAAUAUUGUGCAAUGAGCGAAAGCUUGACACAGCGACACCGCGUGUGGGAUGACGGUUCUAGGAUUGUAAACCACUUUCAGGAGGGAAGAAAAUGACGGUACCUCCACAAGAAGACCCGGCCAACUAUGUGCCAGCAGCCGCGGUAAUACAUAGGGGUCAAGCGUUGUCCGGAUUUAUUGGGCGUAAAGAGCUCGUAGGCGGUUCAACAAGUCGGUCGUAAAAGUUUAGGGCUCAACCCUAAAAUGUCGAUCGAUACUGUUGUGACUAGGAUACGGUAGAGGUGAAUGGAAUUCCGAGUGUAGCGGUGAAAUGCGUAGAUAUUCGGAGGAACACCAAUUGCGAAGGCAGUUCACUGGACCGUGAUCGACGCUGAGGAGCGAAAGCUAGGGGAGCAAACAGGAUUAGAUACCCUGGUAGUCCUAGCUGUAAACGAUGGAUACUAGAUGUAGGAACUGGAUUGACGGUUUCUGUAUCGUAGCUAACGCGUUAAGUAUCCCGCCUGGGGAGUACGGUCGCAAGACUAAAACUCAAAGGAAUUGACGGGACCCCGCACAAGCGGCGGAGCAUGCGGCUUAAUUCGAUGAUACCCGUAGAACCUUACCUGGACUUGACAUAUAGGGAAAACUAAAGAAAUUUAGUGUGCGUAAGCGCCCUAUACAGGUGGUGCAUGGCUUGUCGUCAG